rnacentral:rRNA from 1 species
GAUGAACGCUAGCUACAGGCUUAACACAUGCAAGUCGAGGGAACGGCGCACGGGUGAGUUACACGUAUCCAACCUGCCCUGUACUCGGGAAUCACCUUUCGAAAGAAAUAUUACUACCCGAUAUAAAGGAUGGGGAUGCGUUCCAUUAGGUUGUUGGUGAGGUAACGGCCCAACAAGCCUUCGAUGGAUAGGGGUUCUGAGAGGAAGGUCCCGCACAUUGGAACUGAGACAACGUCCAGACUCCUACGGGAGGCAGCAAUGGGGAAUCUUCGGACAAGGACGAAAGUCUGACGGAGCAAAGGCGGGGGAGUGAGGACGGCUUCGGGGUGUAAAGCUCUGUUAAGCGGGACACGGUACCCGAAUAGAAAGCAACGGCUAACUCCGUGCCAGCAGCCGCGGUAAUAC